CCCCCAGACUCCUACGGGAGGCAGCAGUGGGGGAUAUUGCACAAUGGAGGAAACUCUGAUGCAGCGACGCCGCGUGUGGGAAGACGGUCCUCUGGAUUGUAGACCCCUGUCCCCAGGGACGAAGAUGACGGUACCUGGGGAGGAAGCUCCGGCUAACUACGUGCCAGCAGCCGCGGUAAUACGUAGGGAGCGAGCGUUGUCCAGAAUUACUGGGUGUAAAGGGAGCGUAGGCGGGACUGCAAGUUGGGUGUCAAAUCUACCGGCUCAACCGGUAGCCGCACUCAAAACUGCAGUUCUUGAGUGAAGUAGAGGCAGGCGGAAUUCCUAGUGUAGCGGUGAAAUGCGUAGAUAUUAGGAGGAACACCAGUGGCGAAGGCGGCCUGCUGGGCUUUUACUGACGCUGAGGCUCGAAAGUGUGGGGAGCAAACAGGAUUAGAUACCCUUGUACU
rnacentral:rRNA from 1 species